GGAAGCAAGACACUUUGUGACCAGUCUCCCCUUGAGGAAAGAACGCAGGACUUUGUGCAUUCACUUGUAAGGCAAUGUAGGACACCAGCCAGCAGAAGUUCUACUUCAGCGAGAUGAAGGCUGGGAAGAAACUGUGUUUCACAGGCCUUUGUAAGGGAUCUUCCCGGUAGGCUGUAAGAGCAAUGUGGAGAGCGAGUUGUUUCUUAGCUUGCCAAAGAGCUGGAAGCAAGAACGUUGUGGCUUGUCUCCAUUGGAGGCACUGACUCAGUGCUUAGUGACUUCCACCUCUAGAGCAAUGUAGGACAUGGCUUAGAGCAGAAGUUCCAAGGCGUCGAGAUCAGGGCUGGAACAAACUGAUUUUCAGGACUUUGUAUGAGAGGUUCCCAGUAGGCUCUAAGAGUCCAGGGGAAAGUGAGUUCUUUCUCACCUUGUGAAAGAGCUGGAUGCAAGACUGUCUGUGACCUGUCUCCCUUUGAGGAAACAAGGCAGGACUUUGUCCCGUGCACAUCUAAGGCAAUGUA
rnacentral:lncRNA from 1 species